rnacentral:lncRNA from 1 species
AUAGUCUCACUUAAUAAGUAUCUUAUUGGGUAAGGCCUGAAGGAGGGUUGCAGAGAUUUUUGGUGGGGUGCAGUCGGAUAUGAUAAGUGGGACUUGGUGUGGUUGUACUUUAGCUUAAAGAGUUUGUCCUUGAAGUUUUGGAGAGUAAUGAAAGUUGAUGUACGUGAGGUUGUAUUAGACAUUACCUCGAGAUUUUGUUAUUGUCACCAUCGUGGACAUCAUAAAAAAUCACAAAAUUAAGGAGAUCCAAAGCCUUUUGAAUGGGUCAACAAUCAACCAGCUAAGGACUAGUACAACUAGAUCGACAACACCGUGCGCAAGCUGAUGAGGUUUAUUAAUGACGACACUCCACCAAAUGUAGGAACCUUGCUCAAGCGAGAGAAACUAAGAGCCAUUGAGACCCCCGACUAAAGAAAAUGAGAUGAACUUUGAGAGAAAAAUGUGAAAAUUGCACAUGGUGGUCCAUAAUCACUCCACUACCAUUUCAAUGGCCAAUAGCUUGAGCAGGAAGGGGAGAGAAGACCUCAGCGUUAUUUUAUAGGAGAAAGGCCCGUGGCAAUAGACCCUAGGUGGCAGAAGCUAAAAGGCCUAAUAGACCAAGAGAGAAG